rnacentral:rRNA from 1 species
CCUACGGGUGGCAGCAGUGAGGAAUAUUGGUCAAUGGGCGCAAGCCUGAACCAGCCAAGUCGCGUGAAGGCUGACUGCCCUAUGGGUUGUAAACUUCUUUUAUAAAGGAAUAAACUGAGGUACGUGUGUCUUUCUGUAUGUACUUUAUGAAUAAGGAUCGGCUAACUCCGUGCCAGCAGCCGCGGUAAUACGGAGGAUUCGAGCGUUAUCCGGAUUUAUUGGGUUUAAAGGGUGCGUAGGCGGUCUUUUAAGUUAGCGGUGAAAGUCCGUGGCUCAACCAUGGAAUUGCCGUUGAAACUGGGAGGCUUGAGAAUGUUUGAGGCAGGCGGAAUGUGUGGUGUAGCGGUGAAAUGCUUAGAGAUCACACAGAACCCCGAUUGCGAAGGCAGCUUACCAAGCCAUGACUGACGCUGAUGCACGAAAGCGUGGGGAUCAAACAGGAUUAGAUACCCGAGUAGUC